rnacentral:lncRNA from 10 species
AAAAAAAAAAAAAGGAAAGAAAGAAAAGAAAAGAAAGCAAGCGAGCAAGAAAGAGAAAAAAUGCUCUUGAUAAAAGUCAGGUGGGCCAGGUGCGGUGGCUCAUGCCUGUAAUCUCAGCACUUUGGGAGGCCGAGGUGGGUGGAUCACGAGGUCAGGAGAUCGAGACCAUCCUGGCUAACAGGGUGAAACUGCAUCUCUACUAAAAAUACAAAAAAUUAGCCGGGCGUGGUGGUGGGUACCUGUAGUCCCAGCUACUCAGGAGGCC